rnacentral:rRNA from 1 species
GACGGAGGGUGCAAGCGUUGUUCGGAAUUACUGGGCGUAAAGGGCGCGUAGGCGGUCUGUUAAGUUCGGUGUGAAAGCCCCCGGCUCACCUGGGGAACUGCGCCGGAAACCGACAGACUCGAGUACCGGAGAGGAGGGUGGAAUUCCUGGUGUAGCGGUGAAAUGCGUAGAUAUCAGGAGGAACACCGGUGGCGAAGGCGGCCCUCUGGACGGAUACUGACGCUGGAGGCGACGAAAGCGUGGGGAUCAAACAGG